rnacentral:rRNA from 1 species
GAUAACCGUAGUAAUUCUAGGGCUAAUACGUGCGAAGCGCCCGAAGCCGCGAGGCGACGGGCGUUCUCGCCGGAUGUAGGAACCGACCCGGGGACCGCCGGGGCAACCCGGCGCCCCGAGACGGGGCGAACCACGGUGAAAUGACGGAUCGUCGGCCCCGCGCCGGCGACUCGCCGAAUGAGUUUCUGACCUAUCAACUCGAGACGGCGGGGUAGAGGCCCGCCGCGGUAACGAACGGGUAACGGGGAAUCAGGGUUCGAUUCCGGAGAGGGAGCCCGAGAAACGGCUACCACUUCCAAGGAAGGCAGCAGGCGCGCAACUUACCCUAAUCUCGAUUCGAGGAGGUAGUGACAAGAAAUACCGAUGCGGGACCCUACGGGUGCCGCGUUCGGAAUGAGUACGAUUCGAACCACCUAACGAGGAACGAUCGGAGGGCAAGUCUGGUGCCAGCAGCCGCGGUAAUUCCAGCUCCAAUAGCGUACGUUAAAGUUGCUGCAGUUAAAAAGCUCGUAGUUGAACGUUC